GGAAGGCGAAACUUCUGUACAGACAGGGGUUUUCUGGGAGAAGAAGAGCAGACGGGAGGAUUUGCCUGUGGGACACCGAGGUUUCUGGGCCCAGGCAUGAUGAUGCAGUCAUGUGAUAGUGGGAUGCAGCUUACCUCACGACAGACAGAAGAUGGGCUAGGCCAAGAUAUACCCUGGAAGACAUGUCCCCUGUGAUAAACCUCAUGUAACUUGAUAUCACCUUCCAAACACUACGAGGCUGCGAAGUCUGAGAUCAAGAUAUCAGAAGAUAAAGAUAUGCUGAGGACCUCCUGCAUUUCUUCGAUGCAAAGUUCUCAUGGCUUCCUGUUUCUUCCAUAGGUUAUAGACUGCAUUGUUAAUCGCUUCUCUCUAGAAGUGAUUACCUUCUGAUAGUAUUUCAUGGAGAUUAAAUUUCAGCAUGUGAGUUUUAGAGGGAACAUGGCGCCUUUCUUACUGUACACAGUACUAUAUCACACAUACUCAGAAAGAAGAAAUGAGCUGAAUUCUAAAUGUUUAGUCUCUCUCAUGUUCUCCUUUCUUCUCUCUCCUGGAUGACAAAUUAUAAUAGCAAUGGGAAGACAUCUUCCACACAACUUUAUCCUGAGGUCAAUUUUCUUAUUUAGACGUAAAGACAGUUUUAGAGAUCAGAGCCUUGUCACCGUUUUUACAGUAGUGUCUAAGUUUGUUGUCCAGAUCAUCUUUUUUAAACAAUCCUCCCUAAUCUAAUAUGGCUUCCAGAAUUUAACAGUGACAGCUAUUCAUCGCUAGUAUGUUCAAUGUUUAGUCAGUACUCACCGUGCUCAUCUAGCAUGCUCAGCCUCUAGACCCUAAUUUUGACUCUAGGUCCCCGCUGGUUGCACUAUUUUGGAAGGUGGUGCCAUGAUGUAGGCACCAUGAAGUUAUUGAACGUUGUACAAGUGUUCCGGUCCCUUUACCUUUCUCUGCUUCCUCUCUGGCAUUAGGUGAACAGUUUCCCCCUGCCAUGAUGUUCUGCUAAACAACAUAACAGGGUCAAGCAAACAGGCACCAAAUCCUCUAAAACUGAGAGAUAAAUUAAUCUUUUCAUCGUUAAAUUGUCUUCUCCUGUGUAUUGCUCACAGUGAUGAAGAGAAAUGUCAAGGCCCAAGUGAAGUACUAAAGAAAGAUCAAUAGUAAAAAGCUAUGAAAAAGUAUCUAUCACAACCAAUAGAAAACCCAUCUCCUGAAAUAUCUAGAAGUCUAAAUUUAGAGAAGGGCCUGCCAUGUAAACCAUGUCAGCAGAAUGUGAUAAACCCACGUUCUGCUAUGUAUUCUCUAACUGUAGAAGACAUGUUUCCUUUUGGAUGUAGGGUUCAUGAAGAUUAUAGACCAUAGAUACCUCAAAAUCUAACAGUCCUUGGAACUGCCUUUCAAAUAGGGGCUUUCACUUCCGGAUAUGAGUAGAGAUUGACAUGAAUUGCCAGGUUCCUAAAUUACAAGGCCCAUAUUAUCAAUGUGAUUAGUAGACAUUUUUUAAUCAAUACGGAAAAGUUUAUAUGUCACAAUCUAUGUACAAGGAAUAAUUGGGCCAAAGGUCAGAGAAACUUCUAUGUUGACACAAUGUAACUAAUAUGCUAAAAACAUAUUUAUUAAUGUUUUUGAGUGGGUGACUAACUGAUCCUUUAACUAACCACUUUUUUCAAAUAUCCACCAGAUGCUUACAGAAUCUCAAGUAUUGGCAUUGUGCCAAAGAAUAUAGUUUUUAGUUAAAGAAAGAACUUGUGCUUUGCAAUAGUUUCAUUUUUGGUACAAGAAUUCUGUGGAGUAGUAGAUAAGUUAUAAUUAAAACAUAUUGGUUACUAGUUAUUAGAUAGUAAUAACUAGGUAUUUGGAAGAAGAAGCAAUUUGGGAGUAGAUGACAAAAGUGUCAGAAUAAGGAAGAAUAACGAACAGAGGAUAUAGUUGUCUUAUCAUAUCAAUAAAUACUUACAUUCAUUCAAUAAUAAUGAAUGAUAAAAUAUUUUAUGGGUACUUAAUAUUCACAAGAUACUGUACAAAACAUGAAAAGCACAACUAAAGAUAAUGUUUCCAUUAUUAAGACAUUUAUAGUUUAGGAAUGAUAUACAUUUCUAUUUUUUUUUCAAUGCAGUUUAUUCAGGAACCUUGAACAAUCAUCUGACCCUGGGUAAAGCCAGCCCACAGCUUAAAUAGCCUCUGGGUAGCCAACCCAGGCGUGCCACGUGGGCAAUGCAGAUAGGUCCACAUACAUGGAAGCAAGCCAGAUCCUCAGCCUUAGCCAAAUUUGGAGUUGUUUGUGACAGAGAGCACUCACCAUUGGGAAGGUGGAAGGCGGAAACCAGCUCCAUCUUUCAGGCGCGGCAUUACGGAGUGUAUUGUCAGCUCUUAAGGUCCUUGGAGGCUCAGUGGAGAUGCUCUUAACUGUUGGAUACUUUUAGGCCCAUAAGUGUCAGAAGAAAGAGAGUUUUAGAUGAAAGGGUGACAAAGCAGUGAAUUGAAGGACAUGCGCAAAGGGCAGUUUGUUUACCUGGUGGAAUAAAGUCUGAAACUUAGGUUGGGGCCAUGUUAUAAAGGAACCCACCUACCAGGCUUGAGAGCCAGCCUUUAUUUAAUAGGCACUGAAGAAUGUUCCAAUUCAUUGUUGGCUGGAACAUGUAGCUGGAUUUUGUCAUUCUUUGUCAUCCUAGCCUCUGAAAUUAAGCCUUAAUCAUGAGCAAAUAUUGACAUGUAAGGAUUUUAGGAUCAACUUCUCUAGGGAAAUUUAUAGUAAACUUUUGGAUUUGGUUCUCUUGAGAAGUUUCCUGCGAGGCGAUAUAAGAAUAUGAUGCACUGCGUGUCGACUGCGUGGUUUAAAAUAAAUGGUGGAAUGCUCUUGGUCUGCCAGCUGCUGAGAAGCAAAAAUAACGACACAUUAAGUAAUGGAAACGUGGGAAUUAAAGUUUUCACGGAAAGAGCAAACAAACCCAUCAUUUCUUUUCUUAUCUUGGUGUCAGAGCCUUUUGCUUGCCUGUAUCUUGUCCUCUGAUAUGUCCUCAGUUGCUCUCCUUCAGUGCUUUCUUAUUUCUCCAAAGAGUGAGACACCAUUUUGGAAUCCAGUAUGCUACUCUUGGCCUCAGGGACAGAAAAUACUUGGUAUUUUCAUUUGAUUUCUCCUAGAAGAAGUGAGUGUAUGGCUGACCUCCUUCCUUCUUUUGCCUCUCUCAUCCUUACCUUGUACCAAAUCCUGCUGGAGUUAUAGCUCUGAAUGCGUAGCUCUGAUAAGCCCAAAUCCUGCAAAUUCUUUUCCUUGAUUUGAGAAUGCUUUCACAAUUUUCUUCAAAAGAUAGUUUUACCAGCUGACUGUCCGAGUUAGCUAAGUUCCAUAUAUAAAUUUAUGCAGGAAGUAGAGGGAGAAGAAACUAUGUAGAAAUCAAAAUAAAUAUUUGAAUGCAGUCAAGUAGUUCUGAUCUAAAGUAUGUCAAGUUAUAGUGAUUUUUUUUUUCAGAAGAAUUUCAGAAUACUUUAUAUAAUGUUUUCUGCCAAAAAUUCCAAGUAUGCAUCAAUGUUUUUCAUCAUUUUAUGGCUCUUAGUCAUGCUCGAUGGUCCAUAAAUGUAAUGCACUGUCCAGGUUACUACUGGAUACUCUGAUAUAAAUUCCUAAGCCACAAUGGUGUACUGGCAGCAAUACAGUACAUGUCUCUUGUAGCUUUCUGUUGUGUCCUGUUUGUUUGCCUCUCAAGCCUGUUUUGAGCAUGUCUAGUGUUAACCUAGUAGGCACUCUUGUGUCACACUUUAAACUUUACUGUGACAAAAAUAAACUGGAUGAUAUUAUUACGUGGAGUCUAAGGCUGUUUUAGAACCAGAGUAUCUGCAUUUCGAACAGUAAUUGAAGUAUGCUGAGAGUGAGACCACACUUUAAGUACACAUAAUGGGAUGCUUUUGGCUAAAAUAACUUACAGUAUCAUGGGAACAUUAGCCAUAUUGAUUUAUAGCAAUUGUAAAGCAAUUUGUAUAAAAGCCAUACCAGUAUUUCACUGAGAACAGGGAAAGUAGCAGUUAAGUUGUGAAGAGGAUGACAAAAAUUACACAAGCUUCAAAAUUGAAAGAUUUUAAAUUAAACAGACUAUAGGAAGAUGUGAAGGUGUCUAACAGGCAAAAGAAUAUUUCAGGCACUGAAAAAAAAAUACGUCAGGAUUCUUGGACUUUGUGGACCUUUGUUUCUGGGGUGUAGAGUCUGCAUUGAAAGGAGGUUAGAGACAGGAUGGGAAGAUACACCUGGAACUUUGUGGGAGAAGGAGACAAUAUAAACAAUGCAACCACCACACACUGAGGUGCGGUUGCUUCUUAAACAUUUUGCUUGCUUGCAAAUCAAUGUCAUCUUCAGAAAAAAACACAGUCGGUUUUCACAGAGAAAUUUUGUAUUUAAGCCAUGUUUUAACUUUGUAACUUGGGGGUCUUUAAAGGAAAUAGAAAAAGUGCAACUUAGAAAAACUUUCCGGAGUACCACUCUGAAAGGCAUAUCAGCUCUCUGAGUUCUUUGUAGUCAGCUGCCUCAAAUCUGCCAACUUAUCCUGCCUCCGUGGGCUCCAGCUGCUUUGUAAAUGUGUACCCAUGUUUGUAAAUAAGUUCUACAUGUUCACGUAUGACAUUAUCAGUCUUUUACAACGGGGUUCCAACAUACCUGUUUUAUUCUCCUUACCAUCUAUUUAUAAUACUUAUUCUUUAUUCAUUACAAAAUAAAGUCAGGAAAUACCUACUGGAGUAUGUGCUUGGCUCUGAGGAUACAGAUUUGAACAGAGCAGGAGGCCAGAACUUGUUUCAAAGGCCUUUUGUUGCCAUUUGGAGCUGACAGAUAUUCACAAGGAAAUGCAAUAAAUUGCGAUGAAAGAAUGUAACACUACACAGGUCUUACUCAUUGUGGAUUAAACAUAGACUGAAAUUUUGAUUUUGGACCUCAGACCUGAAGAAGCAAAAGAGGAUAAUCAGGGCAUUUAUGGUUAAGCAUUUAUGGAUGGAGAUAGGACAGUAUGUACACAGCAAAAUGCGAUAAAUUUGUGGGAAGGUAGUGUCUUCAGAUCAGUAUUGCUUAUUAAGCAAUAUUACAGAUCAGUAUUGCUUAAUUAUGGAGUAAGUGGAAAAUGUGAAAAAAAAUUAAAGCUAGGAGUGGGCUGAUUGUGGAAGGCUUUGUCCACUGUGCUAGACAACAUAUGUAUUUGAUUUGCAAAGUGCAGGGAAUCAUAUGAAAGAAGGGGGAGUUAAUAUGACCUGGAGAGGAUAGGAGCUCCACAAGCACAAGGGUCUUAUAUGAGAUUGUUUCUCCAACCAAGGACCAGGUAUGGAUAUAACCUGGAACCUCUGCUCGGAUGUAGCCCGUGGUAGCUCAGUAACCAAGUGGGUGACCCUAGUAAGGGGAACAGGAACAAUUUUUGACAUGAACUCAGUGGUGGGCUCUUUGAACUCCCCACCCACCAAGGGAAGAGCAGUCUUUCUAGGCCACAGAGGAGGACUUUGCAGCCAGUCCUGAAGAUACUUGAUAAAACAGGGUCGGAUGAAAGGGGAGGAGGUCUUCCCCUAUCAGUGGACUUGGAAAGGGGCAGAGAGGAGAUGACGGAGGAAGGUGGGAUUG